AGCCAAUGCUGAGCUCUUUAAAAUUUCUGACACCUCAUAUGAGAACUGUGCACACAGUUACUGAUUUCUUCACGUCCCCUGAGGCUG